CCCCGCAAGGGGAGCGGCAGACGGGUGAGUAACGCGUGGGAACGUACCCUUUACUACGGAAUAACGCAGGGAAACUUGUGCUAAUACCGUAUGUGCCCUUUGGGGGAAAGAUUUAUCGGUAAAGGAUCGGCCCGCGUUGGAUUAGCUAGUUGGUGGGGUAAAGGCCUACCAAGGCGACGAUCCAUAGCUGGUCUGAGAGGAUGAUCAGCCACAUUGGGACUGAGACACGGCCCAAACUCCUACGGGAGGCAGCAGUGGGGAAUAUUGGACAAUGGGCGCAAGCCUGAUCCAGCCAUGCCGCGUGAGUGAUGAAGGCCCUAGGGUUGUAAAGCUCUUUCACCGGAGAAGAUAAUGACGGUAUCCGGAGAAGAAGCCCCGGCUAACUUCGUGCCAGCAGCCGCGGUAAUACGAAGGGGGCUAGCGUUGUUCGGAAUUACUGGGCGUAAAGCGCACGUAGGCGGAUCGAUCAGUCAGGGGUGAAAUCC
rnacentral:rRNA from 1 species